rnacentral:ncRNA from 1 species
AAUCCUGGAGGGCAAACUCGGCGAAAGCCGGGGGCGCAAAGCCACAGGUCUAAGGUUCCCCAAAAGCGCUCGAAGGCAAAGCCACAGGUCUAAGGUUCCCCAAAAGGUUGCCACGGGGAACUAUGACGGCUAGGUUGCAAGG